GCAGCCGGCCGGUCUGCCGCUGACGCCGCAAGGCGGAAGAGGAAAGUCCGGGCAACACAGAGCAUCCUACUUCCUAACAGAAAGCCACCCGCGAGGAUGGAGUAACGCAGAAGAAAACAACCGCCACGCUAUCUUCUUCACCACGAAGGAGAUACGGGGCAAGGGUGAGAAGGCGGGGUAAGAGCCCACCAGCCGCAUGGUGACAUGACGGGCUGUGCGUCUUAGGAGUUGUAAGGUCAUGUAAACCGACAUUAUGAGGGUUGCUCGCCCCACGUCGGAGGGUGGACCGCUAAAGCCCGGCGGUGACGUCGGGCAUAGAUAAAUGGCAGGCACCGUGCCGAAAGGCAAGGAACAGAACCCGGCUUACAGGCCGACUGCUUUU
rnacentral:RNase_P_RNA from 1 species